AAUACCCCCUGACAGGGCCAACCAGGCAGGAUAAACCCCAUCCACCCCACACCACCAGAGGGAUAGGCUGAUACCCCAUUUCAUGGACCCAAGAUCCAUAGGAGAACCUUCUAUGGACUACGACAGCCCCGAUUUUGUUCCAUCAAUAUUUCCCCAAGGCAAACAGACAAGAAACUCAAGAAAGACAAGAUGCAGUAAAGCACAGUCUAACGGCAGUGCUGUUGCCAUGGCAAGCCCAGACACAGAGGUCGAUGACCUUCCUGACUGUUCUGAAGGUACACAGUUAUGUUAACACUUAGGCUUUGACAUUGUAAGGCAUUACUGCUGAGCGAUUAACCAAAAUGUCAGUUAUUUUUCGUUUUUUAAACAACUAAUUGACAGAUGUCGGUUAAAUAAUUUUAAUUCCAUUUCGUUCAGUUUUUUUUCCUGUGAGCUCAAUGCGCACAUCACAC
rnacentral:lncRNA from 1 species